AAAGAUGUACUGCAGAGACUCUCCAUGGAAGCCUUUCAGACCAGAGAGGAUAAAAUGCCUUGGAAAGACUUUAUUUAAAGUGUGUACUGGUGCACUGCAGAGCUUGUUCUGUAUUAAAUUCCAAGGAUGAAUUCUC